rnacentral:lncRNA from 1 species
GCCCCCGCUGCCCCGUUAACCCCUCGUCCACCGCCGCCGUCGGAGGGGGCUGGGAAGUCGCCUGGGCACACACGUGCCGCCUCCGUUGGGGCCGCGGAGCUGCGGGGGAGAUGCGGGCCGCUGCCGGCGCCGCCUCGGGGCGCUCCGCCUCGCCCCAGCCCCCGGCGCUCUGACGCCGCCCCCGCCCCACAGCCUCCCUCCCCGGGAGGGGCGCAGACCCGAUCGCCCCCAGUCCCGAGCCUCCGCCGCCGCGAGGGGGCCGCCUUUGGAUCCGUGUAAUCCGCCUCUUUUUUUCUAUUUUCUUUUUUUUUUUUUUUUUUUUUUUCUAAUUUUUGGUUGGUGGCGGCGGUGCUGGGCCAGGGGAAGGAAGGGACACGGAGGCCGCCCUCGCCCCGCCACCUCCUACCAGCUUCCCCCCAGCCCCGGCUCCGGGAGAUGUGCCGGGCGGGGGGCCCGGGUUCGCCGAGCCGCAGGAGAGACACGCUGGGCCGACCCCAGAGCGGCGCUGGACAGGAAAACAUUUAAAGUUGAUGAUAUGUUAUCAAAAGUAGAGAAAAUGAAAGGAGAGCAAGAAUCUCAUAGCUUGUCAGCUCAUUUGCAGCUUACAUUUUUGGUUUCUUCCACAAAAAUGAUAAGCCAUCACCAAACUCAGAAAAUGAACAAAAUUCUGUUACCCUGGAAGUCCUGCUUGUGAAAGUUUGCCACAAAAAAAGAAAGGAUGUAUGUUGUCCAAUAAGGCAAGUUCCCACAGAGUGACUCGUCCAAGAAGAAGAGAGUUUAAUGGAAUGAUUAAUGGAGAAACCAUGAAAAUAUUGAUGUCAGUGAAGAGCUUCCAGCCAGAAGAAAAUGAAAUCGUGAGGAUGGGGAAAAGACAUUUGUUGCACAAAUGACAGUAUUUGAUAAAAACAGGCGCUUACAGCUUUUAGAUGGGGAAUAUGAAGUAGCCAUGCAGGAAAUGGAAGAAUGUCCAAUAAGCAAGAAAAGAGCAACAUGGGAGACUAUUCUUGAUGGGAAGCUAUGGACUACUUAGAAGGUUGAGCACAUUAUAGUUAUGAACUCCCAUUUUUGAUUGAUGUUUUCUUCCCCAAAUGCUAAUUCAUGUUGGAAGUAGAGGCCUUUGUUUUUUAUACUUUAAAAAACACAAGUAAAU